UGAUCUCGAACUUCUUGGCUCAAGUGAUCUGCCUGCCUUCCAAAGUGCUGGGAUUACAGGCAUGAGCCACCAAGCGCAGCCAUGAUUUAUUAGAUCACUUCUAAAAGCCCUCUCUCCAUCUCCAAGCCAGCAAGUGCUUCUUUGCACCCCAGCUCUAAAACAAAGCCCUUGGGGACACAAUCAAAGACAGUAGUUGCCAAGAGGAAUAGGGAGCAUGGAAAGAAGAAAUCAACUCUAAGGAAAGAAGUAGGCAGGAAACCUGUUGAAAGAAAAUGAAAGCAUUAUAUUUCAGCAAUUACUUAAAUCCUGCAAGAAGAUCAUGUUUGAUGGAAAGCAGUUGGUGUAGAUAACUGAAACUGCAGAAGAGAAAACUGUGAAUAAAAGGGAACAACUGUACCCUUACAACCACCACUGUAAUCAAGAGGUAUAACAGCUUCAUCAGUUCAACACUGAAACUGGACAUUGUAGAAGAUGAAUUAUGAGAGUGAUUUAUGAAAGAAAGACAGUGGAGAAUUGCAAUCGAUGGAGACAUUCAAAGAAAAGACUUUGGCACUACAUCAAAAGAGAGUAGAAUAAAUGACGAAACUAAAGCACAAAGAGAUUAAAGAACUUAUCCAAGGUCAUGCAGCUGGAAAGAAGUGGAUUUGGGAUUGUGAACAUCACAAUUUCACAAACUACAUUUCAUGAUGGGUAGAGCUAGUCAAACGUCUGAAAAUAAAGUUUGGUUUAAAGAUGACCAUCGUCUUGUUAAGAAAUUAUAUAAAUGAGUAUCACUAAAAAGUCUCUCUUUAAACUCACCAAGCACUCUUCACUAUGGACAAGAAAGUGUGAAUAUGGUUAUUUUUUAUUUAAUAUUUUCAUGAUGAUUAACUGAAGGAUCUGACAGUAAAUAGUCUUUGGGUCUUUUUAAACUAAAACUCCUGUUGUUGUUGAUAGCAAUUGAUGCAAUUGAUAGUAAUGUGCUGUAUCCCUCAGAUGUAUUCCAGCUGAAGAAGGUGGAGAGCCACUAAAAUUUAUUGUUCUAUGUCAUUUUUCCAAAUCAUCUUUUGAUGACUGUCCAUCUACAUAUUGCUCAGUGGCUUUAUAUUUAGAACAUUAUUUGGGAAAUUGUAAUUUCAAAUAUUUUAACCUAUAAAUAUUCAAUGAAGCCUUGGCAAUGAAGAGUAAGACUUUAUAAAACCUUGAAUAUAUGAAUAGCACAGUUCUGGUUAUCUAUGUAACAACAUCCCCCAUAGUAACCUAAAACAAUGACAUUACUAUAUCCCAUGAUUCUGUGGAUUGCCUGGGCUUAGGUGGUAAGUUCUCAGGGUGUUGCUCAUUGUCACACCCAGAUAGCAGCUAGAACUAGAGUCAUCUGCAAACUCCUUUUUCUUGUGUGGACCAUCCAAGGUAGGUUUCUCAUGCACAUAUCUAGUGCUUUGGUGCUUCUUGGCCUCUCUCUUUCCACAUUGUAUCUCAUCUUCCUGGCCUCUCCACAUGGCUUGGGCUUCUUGUUGCAUGGUGUUACGAGGUACUCACACUGCUAACACAGUAGCUGACUUUCAAGAUACACAAAUUGGACCCUUUUAGACCAAUUAAGGGCUAUGGUGAAACUGGAGCAGUAUCACUCUCAUUGUAUUCUAUUGGCCAAAGUAGCAGAGGGCCUGAUCAGACCCAAAGAGGUAGAGAAAUAGAUUCUACUUCUCAAUGGGGGAGUACCAAGUUCAUAUUGCACAAGGGGAUGUAGAAUGGGAACUAUUGUUGUUAUCAUUAGGUAAUACAGUCUGCCUAAAGUACUAUAUCACCUAAUUAGACUUGCUUUGCACAUGAUGACCAGGAGGAAACAAGAUACUGUUUUGGAAUGUACUCACUAAGCAGCUGCCUAGAUGCUGCUUACCUAACAAGUGCCUUGUUUCCACUCAAGGUCAUGGAUCUUUGGGAGUCUAAUAAGAGUGAUGAAAAAUUAUUCAUAGGUCUCCUUCCUUUACUAUACAAUCCUCGCUGCUAAGAGAAAGAUGGGCAAAGGACCUGGGAUGGAUAUCUUUGUGAAUCUAUCAAUAAUGGAUAAAAUAUCUCAUUUGUCUGCUUUCCUUAUUAUCUAAUUCUUCCCUCUUAGAGGAGUCUGAGCAAAGGAGCCUAGACUGGGUGUAUGGUGGAGAGUCAGUAACUAGGAGUAGAAUCUAAAUCAAAUCAAUAGUGUCCUAGUUAACCAAAUCAAAGAGUAAAUGUACAGAAACACAGGAAACCAUGCAGGGUAAUCAAGACUAAAAUUCUGGGUUAUAAGGAACAGCCUAAAACAAUUCUGAGUUGCAAAAUAAAUGGCACCAAUAAUCUUAUACUAAAUUUCAGAAUGUUAGGAUAGGCCUUAUUCUGCUUAAGAUCAGAAUUGGUUCAAGAUACUGGGUUGGAGUUGAACUAGAAGGUUGUAGGUUGGUAGCCCCAGCUAGAAGGAGAGGCCUAGGAGGAUGCCAAGGAGUAAUUGGUAAGUUGCAAAUGUUGAGUUCCUACCAUGGACUUCUGCAGCAAUUGGUGACUGAUUUGUUAGAUGUUGCAGAGAGACUCAAAACAACUAUCAAUCAUCCUGUUAAUUAAAAAUAUUCAUUGGAUUU
rnacentral:lncRNA from 1 species